UAAUAGUGUAUAUUAAAGUUGUUGCAGUUAAAAAGCUCGUAGUUGAAUGUUGGUGUCGAACGAGCGGUCAGCUUCGGCUGUACUGCUCUCUCGACUCCUUCCUUCUGUGGACUACGUCGCACUUUACUGUGUGGCGCUAGGACGCAGAUCGUUUACUGUGAAAAAAUUAGAGUGUUCAAAGCAGGCCUUCGCUUGAAUACAUUAGCAUGGAAUAAUAGAAUAGGACUUUGGUUCUGUUUUGUUGGUUUAUAGGACCGGGGUAAUGAUUAAUAGGGAUAGUUGGGGGCAUUAGUAUUUAAUUGUCAGAGGUGAAAUUCUUGGAUUUAUGAAAGACUAACAUCUGCGAAAGCAUUUGCCAAGGAUGUUUUCAUUAA
rnacentral:rRNA from 1 species